AGAGUUCGAUCCUGGCUCAGGACGAACGCUGGCGGUAUGCUUAACACAUGCAAGUCGAACGAGAAGUUUUUUAUUGACCCUUCGGGGGAUAUAAGAGACAGACAGUGGCGAACGGGUGAGUAACGCGUGGGCAACCUACCUAUCGGAGCGGGAUAGCCUCGAGAAAUCGGGAGUAAAACCGCAUAACACAGCAGAAUCGCAUGACUUUGCUGUCAAAACUCCGGUGCCGAUAGAUGGGCCCGCGUCUGAUUAGCUAGUUGGUAAGGUAAGGGCUUACCAAGGCAACGAUCAGUAGCCGGUCUGAGAGGGCGAACGGCCACACUGGAACUGAGACACGGUCCAGACUCCUACGGGAGGCAGCAGUGGGGAAUAUUGCGCAAUGGGGGCAACCCUGACGCAGCAAUACCGCGUGAGUGAAGAAGGUUUUCGGAUCGUAAAGCUCUGUUAUUGGGGAAGAAGCAGUGACGGUACCCAAUGAGGAAGUCCCGGCUAACUACGUGCCAGCAGCCGCGGUAAUACGUAGGGGACGAGCGUUGUCCGGAAUCACUGGGCGUAAAGGGCGCGUAGGCGGUUUUAUAAGUCAGAUGUGAAAGGUACCGGCUCAACCGGUGACGUGCAUUUGAAACUGUAAGACUUGAGUACUGAAGAGGCAAGCGGAAUUCCUAGUGUAGCGGUGAAAUGCGUAGAUAUUAGGAAGAACACCGGUGGCGAAGGCGGCUUGCUGGGCAGAUACUGACGCUGAGGUGCGAAAGCGUGGGGAGCGAACAGGAUUAGAUACCCUGGUAGUCCACGCCGUAAACGAUGAGUGCUAGGUGU
rnacentral:rRNA from 1 species